AGUGAACGCUGGCGGUAGGCCUAAUACAUGCAAGUCGAACGGCAGCACAGUAAGAGCUUGCUCUUACGGGUGGCGAGUGGCGGACGGGUGAGGAAUACAUCGGCAUCUACUUUUUCGUGGGGGAUAACGUAGGGAAACUUAUGCUAAUACCGAAUACGACCUACGGGUGAAAGCAGGGGAUCUUCGGACCUUGCGCGAUUGAAUGAGCCGAUGUCGGAUUAGCUAGUUGGCGGGGUAAAGGCCCACCAAGGCGACGAUCCGUAGCUGGUCUGAGAGGAUGAUCAGCCACACUGGAACUGAGACACGGUCCAGACUCCUACGGGAGGCAGCAGUGGGGAAUAUUGGACAAUGGGCGCAAGCCUGAUCCAGCCAUGCCGCGUGAGUGAAGAAGGCCUUCGGGUUGUAAAGCCCUUUUGUUGGGAAAGAAAAGCAGCAUGUUAAUACCCCGCUGUUCUGACGGUACCCAAAGAAUAAGCACCGGCUAACUUCGUG
rnacentral:rRNA from 1 species